ACAACAUUCGGACCGAAACAUUCUACCGAGCAAUAUCAUGCGUUAGGUGGAAGAUCUUCCCUUUGUCGU
rnacentral:pre_miRNA from 1 species